rnacentral:siRNA from 1 species
ACGACGCAAGGUAGAUCCGCCG